rnacentral:rRNA from 1 species
UACGGAGGGAGCUAGCGUUGUUCGGAAUUACUGGGCGUAAAGGGUGCGUAGGCGGGUCUUUAAGUCAGAGGUGAAAUCCUGGAGCUCAACUCCAGAACUGCCUUUGAUACUGAGGAUCUUGAGUUCGGGAGAGGUGAGUGGAACUGCGAGUGUAGAGGUGAAAUUCGUAGAUAUUCGCAAGAACACCAGUGGCGAAGGCGGCUCACUGGCCCGAUACUGACGCUGAGGCACGAAAGCGUGGGGAGCAAACAGG